rnacentral:tRNA from 1 species
GGGCGGUUAGCUCAGUUGGCUAGAGCGUUACGUUGACAUCGUAGAGGUCACAGGUUCGAGCCCUGUACCGCCCAC